rnacentral:snRNA from 1 species
AUCACUUCUCGGCCUUUUGGCGAAGAUCAUGUGUAAUAUCUGUUCUUCAGUUUAAUAUCUGAUGCUUCCUCUCUCUGAGAACAAUAUAUUCAAUGGAUUUUGGAAAUAGGAGAUGGAAUAAGAGCUAGCUCUGUCUUCUCCAUGCAUUGACCUGGUAUUGCAGUAUUCCCAGGAGUGGGGGAAUAAAA